UUGCCUCAGUAACGGCGAGUGAAGCGGCAACAGCUCAAAUUUGAAAUCUGGCGCAAGCCCGAGUUGUAAUUUGCAGAGGAUGUUUCGGGUGAAGCCACGGUCCAAGUCCCUUGGAACAGGACGUCAUAGAGGGUGAGAACCCCGUACCUGGCCGUCGGUGCCCCCCGCUGUGAAACUCCUUCGACGAGUCGAGUUGUUUGGGAAUGCAGCUCUAAAUCGGUGGUAAAUUCCAUCUAAAGCUAAAUACCGGCCAGAGACCGAUAGCGCACAAGUAGAGUGAUCGAAAGAUGAAAAGCACUUUGAAAAGAGAGUUAAAAAGUACGUGAAAUUGUUGAAAGGGAAGCGCUUGCGGCCAGACUUGCCCGCGGUUGCUCAGCCCGCCUUUUGGCGGGUGCACUCUUCCGCGGUCAGGCCAGCAUCGGUUUGGGCGGUCGGAUAAAGGCGUCGGGAACGUGGCCUCCCCUCGGGGAGGUGUUAUAGCCCGGCGCGCAAUGCGGCCAGCCCGGACCGAGGUUCGCGCUUUGCUAGGAUGCUGGCGUAAUGGCCGUAAGCGGCCCGUCUUGAAACACGGACCAAGGAGUCUAACAUCUAUGCGAGUGGUUUGGGUGUCAAACCCGUGCGCGUAAUGAAAGUGAACGGAGGUGGGAACCGCAAGGUGCACCAUCGACCGAUCCUGAUGUCUUCGGAAGGAUUUGAGUAAGAGCAUAGCUGUUGGGACCCGAAAGAUGGUGAACUAUGCGUGAAUAGGGUGAAGCCAGAGGAAACUCUGGUGGAGGCUCGCAGCGGUUCUGACGUGCAAAUCGAUCGUCAAAUUUGCGUAUAGGGGCGAAAGACUAAUCGAACCAUUUGCAAACAGCAAUACUAGAUGGUCAAAGGGCGGAGAGCCUUAGUCCCCACGGGGGCCACACUGCCAAACUGCGGGGAACGCCCACAGCCGGACGCCACCGCCCCCCCGCCGCGAGGUGGGAGGGGCACCCCGUUUACUCGGGGGCAUGGUAACAGCGCGCCCGGCGGGUCGAUCCGCAGCCGUCCCCCGAUCCGUCGGGGGGUGGUUCACAGACUAGACGGCGGUGGGCGCGGCGAGCGCUUAAGAUAUAGUCGAUCCAGCCCCUCAA
rnacentral:rRNA from 1 species